rnacentral:rRNA from 1 species
AGUGAACGCUGGCGGUAGGCCUAACACAUGCAAGUCGAACGGCAGCACAGUAAGAGCUUGCUCUUACGGGUGGCGAGUGGCGGACGGGUGAGGAAUACAUCGGCAUCUACUUUUUCGUGGGGGAUAACGUAGGGAAACUUACGCUAAUACAGCAUACGACCUACGGGUGAAAGCAGGGGAUCUUCGGACCUUGCGCGUUUGAAUGAGCCGAUGUCGGAUUAGCUAGUUGGCGGGGUAAAGUCCCACCAAGGCGACGAUCCGUAGCUGGUCUGAGAGGAUGAUCAGCCACACUGGAACUGAGACACGGUCCAGACUCCUACGGGAGGCAGCAGUGGGGAAUAUUGGACAAUGGGCGCAAGCCUGAUCCAGCCAUACCGCGUGGGUGAAGAAGGCCUUCGGGUUGUAAAGCCCUUUUGUUGGGAAAGAAAAGCAGCAGGUUAAUACCCCGCUGUUCUGACGGUACCCAAAGAAUAAGCACCGGCUAACUACGUG